ACUGUUAUCCCCCUCACAGACCAACACACACCCGACCAAAGCCUCUCCAUUCUCCUCUCACAGCCCCCAAAACCCCCAAAACCAUUUUUCCUUCUCACAGCCGACCCCAACAGCUCCAUCGCCGGCCUUGACCGACUAUCCCCUACAGACCCGAACCAGAACCUCCACAUCCACCGACAGUACCCCCCCCCUUUGGUUUUUUUUUAUCUUCUCCUUAGCUCUGAUCUGCUCAAGCCGCCGCUCCCUCCCUUGAAAACAAAACUCUGUCCCAAAACAGCCGCUUCCCCCACUUGACCCAUCAACACCGAAGCCCCCUUUCCUUGGCAGCAUCUUCUUCUUCGGUCUUCUCAACAGCGAAGGGCCAAGUCAACAGCGCCUUCUUCUCCCUUGGCCGACUACCAACAGCAACGGAGAAGCAGCACCCACAGGAGCCCCCAGCAGCGCCCACGGACGACACCGCCGGUGCAGAAUGAAGUAGGAGUAAGGCCGCCGAUCCUCCACACGUCUGGUCUGUCGGCGGCGUGUGUAGAAUCUGUUCUCCUCUCGCCCACAGGCACAGAGUAUCCGCAGAUCUGCCCUCCAAGCGGCAGCCCCCCCCAUACGGCGUCGCCUGCCGAUCCGGCGCCAUUUCCCACAGAAGACCACCACCGGCAGAGAAGGGAAGGGAGAAGAAGCCGGCAGCCACCUGAAACAGAGGAGAUUAGGAAAGAAAAAGAAACGAACAGAUCUGCCCAAACGGAGAAAAAGAGAGACAGAUCCGAAAACAAGGAGGAAGAAAUUAAAACCUACUGCCUUGUGUGUUUUUUCUCCUUUUGCAGGUGACAGUGAUUCUCACUGCCGGUGAGGGGAAGAAGAGGGGAAGCCGCGACUGACCCCCUGUUGUUUUGGAGUUCCAGCGGUGGCGCGUGAACCCACGCGCCACCAGUGACGAUGCGCGCGGGGAGCAACGCGCCACCAUUGUUCCAGCACUGUUCCCGCGCCCAAAAAACUUCCCUGACACUGUUCCAACUGUAGAGGGCUAUCCCUGUAAUUUCAAAUUGUUUUAGGGCUAAUUUUUGUAAUUGUAAAAAUUGUUUAAUGUAUUUUUUGUUUAGUUAACUUUUUUAUAAUUUGUAAUGUUGAUGUAACAAAAAAAGAAAGAAAAAGAAAAAGAAAAGAAAAGAAAAAGAAAAAAUAUAGUGAAAGUGUAUAUGUGUUUUGUAUUUUUUUUUUAUGUAUGUUAUUGAAUCAAAAAAUGAAUUUAAUAUUUUUAAUUUAUAUGCACAAAUAUCUAAAGGACAGAUAAAAAUCAUGUUGUACUUCCCAUAAAAAUGUAGAACAUGUGUCUACAUACGUUUUGGGAACUAAUAACUGAUUUAUCAAAGCCUUAGAAUUGGGCUAAAAUUUUAUUUUUAAAACGCAUCAAGUCCACAAAGCAGCUUACCUCAGGUAGGGUGCGUUAGGGGUGCUAAUACCUUCCCUAACCACAACCAGUCCCUUACCCAUGAAUCUCUGACAANNNNNNNNNNNNNNNNNNNNNNNNNNNNNNNNNNNNNNNNNNNNNNNNNNNNNNNNNNNNNNNNNNNNNNNNNNNNNNNNNNNNNNNNNNNNNNNNNNNNGAACCAAUCAAAAUCAACAAACAAAAAAAAAAUCGCCAGCCGAUGCCGUGCGGAUUUUUGACGUGCGACAGAAUGGCGACUCCGCUGGGGAAGGUAUUGUUUUCAACAUUAUUGGACUAAGCUUUGUGUAUUUGAUGUGUUUAUGUUUUUGCAUUUUUGUCUUGUUUUAUUUUUGUUUUAUUGAUGCAUUGUAUAGAAUUGUUUCAUGCAUCACGUAUUUUGAUUUUUUAAAGCACACACAAGCUUCAGGUUAGGAGGGGGACUAGCAGCUUACCUUAUGACUUUUAGUCAAGGUUUAAGUUUGUGUAAACCCCAACUCUUCGUUGAGUGCUUAGACUGGUAAUAGUUGGACAUGUGCCAUCUAAUUGCCUACAAGCCCCCAUAUUGCCUCCACGAGGGCAAUCACUGGGACAACAAGAGACCAUUUUUAGAGACCAAGUAGUAAACCUACCUUUUGUCUCACUUAAAAAGAUUAAAACCUGCCUUUAGGAUGUGUGCUCCGUAUACUUUGUUUUGCAUCAGGGCAAACCCUUCUUGAAGCAUCUUGAACUCAAGACUUUUGGGUGACCCAAUGGCCGUCACUCAGAAAAUUUUCAUUGUAGAGUUUGGGCAAGAAUCAAGAUUCUUGUUUCAUCAUACAAGAGUUACGACCAUAUGUCACCCCUCGAAGGGUGAGUUCUUCAUAUAGAUUACAUGUUCAUACAUUUAUCAUGCAUGUACCAUGGGGAAAAAUAGGUUCCCCUGUCUGAGGUUUACUACACCUGAUUGAACAAAGAUGAUGGGAAAUGAAGAAAGGGUUCAAAAAGAAGCUCAUUAUCAAGGAAAGUUGAGAGCAUCAAAGGGGAAGUAGCUAGGCUCAGAUCUGCCUGAACAAGUGUAGAGCAUCAAAUGGAAAGGGAAUGUCUACACAGUCUUCUGUGGGAACACUGCUUGUCCAUGUCCCAUUGAAGUUACACCUCCUCUUUUCAGUCUUGAAUAAUUGCAGCAAUGCCUUCAGUCAUCAGCUAAUGACAACCUUUGUUCUUGUUCAGUUGCACUGAUAAUUAUUCAUCGCCUCCGUAUCUGCUAAUGGAACCAAAUAACUACUAGCCUUCUGUGCAUGGUGUAUUAGCCUUCUUUGACGUUACCCCAACUGUUAGCUCAAUUCGAGUUCAGCGGCACAAGAUGUAAAAAAAAAACAACAACAAAAAAAAAACAAAAAAAAAAAAAAAAAAAAAACUGAAAAAAAAAACCAUGAUUCGACCCUGAACUUCUACGUUGCAGAGCUCUCUCUGUAGAUAUUUCUUUGUGGAUCUGCCAAUGGGGAACGCAAGAGGGGGUGUAGUAGUUUCAUAUGCUUUAAAACUUUCUCUCACCAGUGGCACCAGCAAAACAUUGUGGUAGGCAGAAGGGUGAGACCUGGUUUGAAAAUGUUAGCAGUCAUCAAACUUCAAUGUGGCAGAGCUCUCUCUACAAAAAUCCGUUUGUGGCUCUGCAAGUGGGGAAUGCAAGAGGGAAUGUAGUAUUUUCAUAUGCUACAAACAUUUGCCCCAUCAAUUUCAGAACCGAAACACUGGAGUAGGCAGAAGGGUCACACCUGGUCUGAAAACAUGAGCCGUCAUUAAACUUCAACGCGGCAGAGCUCUCUCUACAAAAAUCUGUUUGUGGCUCUGCAAGUGGGGAAUGCAAGAGGGAAUGUAGUAUUUUCAUAUGCUACAAAAAUUUGCCCCAUCAAUUUCAGAACUGAAACACUGGAGUAGGCCGAAGAGUCAGACCUAGUCUGAAAACAUGAGCAGUCGUCGAACUUUGACGUGGCAGAGCUCUCUCUACAAAAACCCGUUUAUGGCUCUGCAAGUGGGGAAUACAAGAGGGGAUGUAGUAGUUUCAGACAAUGUGAAAAUUUAUGCCACCAGUUUCCGCACUGAAACACUGUAGUAGGCAGAAAAGCCAAACCUGAGCUAGAAAACAAGAGCAAAUAUAGAACUUCACCGUGGCAGAGCUCUCUCUGCAGAAACCUGUUUGUAGAUCUGCAAGUGGAGAAUCCAAGAAGGGAUGCAGUAGUUUCUGAUCAUCUAUAAUUUUCUCUCAUCAGUGUUAGCUUGAAAAUGCAAAAGAAGGGAAAAGAGACAAACCUCGGCUGAAAAAUAGAAAGAAGAUUGAAACUUCAACAGAGCAGAGCUCCCUCUAUAGGUGUCUGUUUGAUGCGCCAUCAGUGAGGAAUCGAAGAGGAGACAAAGGAGUUUCAGAUUCAUCAGUUUCUCCUCCAACAAAAACAAUGCCUCAUUUCACACAUUGACAGUGAUAGCGCUGCAUGAUUCUAUGCGCUGACAAGAUUACCUAGCUGUUGGAAGGUUUCCAACAAUCCACAAAUGACCACAACAACAUUGGAAGAAUGACAUGAUGUUGUGAAGAUCAUCGAAAGAAUUAAGCUAGCUAUGAAGAUGAGAAGGAUUGAAGGUUCUGUCAAGAAUUCCAGAACAAUGAUGAGAGAUGAAUCAGGAGAUGACUCUGAAGAUGAGAAACCAUAGUUACUUGGUUUAGUCAAGUCUCACUGUAGCACCAGCUGCUCAAAUGUCUUUGCCAAGACUGACAUUUAUCUGCCACCCAAGUUGGACUACUAGCAUCUGUCAGAUUCCAGACUUUUUGCCUGACUCUGUUAAAUCCCAUGCAACCACCGUUUUCUAGGUGGUAUAAUCCAGACAAGAGAUGUGAUGUCAUGGUGGGGUCCUCAGCCAUUUCAAUUGAAUAAUUGCAAGAAUCGAGUCCGCAAAUUGGUGAGCAAAAGACGAGAGGAAUCUGUGAAGAAGCUUGUCAUUGAUCAUUUUGUUGCCAGAACAUCCUCAGAAUGACGAGUGAUCGAAAUUGCUCGGUAAACACAGAUAUUGCCAGAAUAGUUGAUCCAAGAAGGGCGUUGAACUGUCAAUCAUGUUGUUAUGGAAUUUUUUGCCAUUCUGCAUUUUGUUUUGGGGUCACAUCUCAUCCUUGAACGAAACAUGUCUUUCCUUUGUCUUCCUGUUGUUUUGAAAUCAAGAGAUGCUUCUUUCAAAGGGUAUUUUGACAAAAUAUUUUGAUCAAGCUCCAACAUGUGAUUAAGAUUAAUCAAUCCUGAAGAUUAAAAGUAUUUUGAUUGCAAAAAUGACUCGAUGCUUAAAAAUGACAUGAGGUGACCAAACAAUUUUGAACUCAUACCUCCUGAAACUGAACCACACAUCAUAUAGCUAGUUUUAGCAGUAUGCAUAAUGACAUGUAGUGGAUUCAGUUGUUAUGGACUCGUGAAUCAUGAUUCUUACAAGUCCAAAUCAUUACACUGGACGAGGUCAAAAUUUAUCGGUUCUAACCGACCUUGCUUGAAACGAGAAAAGGCCAUCUUUGUUAUCCUUUCACAUUUCUUGAAAUAUUAUCCCUUGCAGUCCCAUUUUGAGCCUGGUAAAAUAUUUUCUUUCAAAAAGAAAACCUGACUAGGAUCACACCCCACGCUGGGGGCAAUGAGAGAUAUGUUAUUAGGAAGGAUGAAGACACUGAUAGAAUCAAUCAUAAAAGAAAGGCUUAGAGUAAAAGCCCAAUGAUUGAGAAAGGGAGAACAAGAAAAGCCAUAGAUUGAGGGCCAUCCAAGAAAACUUUGAGGAAGGUUAUGUAAAAGCAAAAAAAAAAAGUGGAAAUGAAGGAGAAUGCCUAUCAAUUCUAAGAGGGGCAAAAGAGGUUUCAAUGGAAGAAAGACACAACAAAUGUCAAAAGUCAACACCAAAAAAAUCAAGUUUCAUGUCUUUUGGUGUGUCUAGGAUAAAACCUUUAGUGUCUUCAAAAUUUUUUAGAUUCAUUAUUCAUCAGAGAAAGUUGGAUUUGCAUUAUGACCUAUGUUAAGAGAAUUCUGAUAUUUGAGAUUAACAAGGUUAUAUAUCACUUUCUCUACUAUGACAACAAGAGAAAGAGAGUUGAUGAAUAGUUGAUGUUGAUCCUAAGUCUUUGAAAUCCUAACACUUUUUGAGCUUGUGAAAUUCCUUUCUUUCAUAGCCAUGAACCAUAGCCUGCAUUAUGUGCUUUUAAAAGCCCUUUUUAAUCAAGUAAGCAAUCUGAACCGAUAAAUGGCGAUCUCAAAAAUUGAAGAGUUGUUCCAUAAGGGUCGUGACUUCAUGGAUUAAGCUACUGGUUAUUAUGCAUGCUGAUAAAAUGGGUGCUAAAAAAGAAAACAAUCUUUCUUGAUGAAUCCUCAAGUUUUGACUUGAGCCUUUUGUUUCUUGAAAUUCACAGAAGGUCACCUCAUUGCAGACCGUGAAAAGAUAUACCCAAGAUCAAAGAUUAAAACUGACAUAAAGAACCACGGAAAAAGUCAUUUUAAACUUACAAUGGGUCAUUUCUGUUUUCAAAAUACAAGACAAUCAAAGGACUAUAUUGAAUAGUGUGUGUUGGAUCUUUGACCGAAGAAACUUGAUUUUCAAAAACUGACAUCUCUCUGAUUUCAUUUCAACAAUUAGACUUGAAUUGACAUGAUCUUUGAAAUAUGAGAGUUGAUUCCAUAACAACAAAGAUUGUUAAACAACAAGAACAUCGACCAAAUUUGCAAAAUCCUUGACAAGAAUGACAUCAACACUUCUUGACACUCCUUGAAAAGUUAACCACUUGGGGGCAAUACAGUGGACCCUGAGAAGGAAAACAAUCAGUAUUCAGAUCAGCUGGGGACAAAGAAAAAUCAGAUGAUGAGUCGUCAAAGUCCAUCAAAGUUUUUAGCAUCUGACAAUGACAAAGAAAAAAAAACUUGUUGAGUAUAAACAGAUGAACGAGCAUUCAGAUCAACUGAGGGCAAUGAAAGAUGAUCAAAUGAUGAAUCAAUGCACUGAGGACAAUGGUGUUUAAAGAAAGUUAAUCAGCAGAACAAGCAUUCAGAUCAUUACUGGGGGCAAUGUUGUUCAAAGACAGUCAGUGAUUUAGUGAACUUCAGCAGCAAUUGAUGAGCAACGCUGCACUUGAAGGGCAUUUUAUUAUCUUCAUCUUGGGGUUACCCUUUGAAACAUGGCUAUGACAGAUGUUAUCUCAUAGUUGCAUUAGAAUGAAUGUCAGAAAGAUGCACACCACCAAGACUGACUGUGGGACCAUAUGUUUCGGAGCUCAAUGCGCACUUCACCGUAUGAAUAUGGGUGAUAACAUGAACAUCAUUAAUGAUGCCACUGCAUUUCUUUUCACUAUCUGAUUUGACAAGUUGAGAGAAGAAUCCAUGGAGAAGAACAUUGAGCUUACAACGAUGAGCCCUUUUACUGCAAGGUAUGAGAUCCAUGUCUGGAUGACUUGGCAGUUCCAUGAAGACUGAUGAUAACAUAUACUUGAAGAGUAUUGUUUCAGCUUGAGGCAAGUUUAUGACUGGUUGACAAUCAUGAUGGUAUUGACACGAUGCGCACAAUCAAUGAGAGAACAAUUCUCAGGAUAAUACAGAGGAUGAACGAUCGGUUAAGAUCUUCAUGAUGAAUCAAGCAACACCGCACUUGGGGGCAGAGUCAAGCUUGAUAAACAGCGAGAGCAGUAAUUGUUGUGGACAGCCCAGGAUGGGCACUGCACUUACAACUGAGUGGAUGGCUAGCACACGAAUGAGUCAGUACAUGGGAAGGACAAAUAAAGCUUUGGGAAUGCAAACAAAGGCACCCUAUGACGAUGGAUCAUCAAAGGGGGGGACCUAUAUUUCACAUCAGGUAAGGAUGCAUGCAUAUCAUCUAACGUUAAAACAUUGUACAUAUUUUUUAUUUUGUUGCAGGAAAAAUCCUCAAUGUAGUUUAGCAAGAUUGGGGACCAAAAAAAAAAAGAGAAUCAUUGAGCUGAUAAUAACAGAGAAUCAUGUUGUAACCUUGGAACGGGAAGAAGAUGAGAGAUAAACCUUACUGUUAGGAAAAUCUCAAAGAAAUGAAAAGAUCAACCUUGCAAUCAGGAAGCAUCGAGUUUUCAAACCCUGCGAUCAAGAAUUAUCAAGAAGCACCAAGUUUUCCGGCCCUUCUUCUAUCAUCCCUUCAGGACUUCACCAGGUAAGUCUCAUUUUUCACACUUGUCACAUAACAUCUUUCACAUGGGUAGGUCACCCAUAAUAAUGAGACCGCUUCAUAUUUUUCUCAUCUUCCAUCUGGGUAGGUCACCCAUUACAAUGAGACCACUUCAUAUUUUUUCUAUCCUCCACCUGGGUAGGUCACCCAUUACAAUGAGACCACUUCAUAUUUUUUUCUAUCCUCCACCUGGGUAGGUCACCCAUUACAAUGAGACCACUUCAUAUUUUUUAUAUCCUCCAUCUGGGUAGGUCACCCAUUACAAUGAGACCACUUCAUAUUUUUUCUAUCCUCCACCUGGGUAGGUCACCCAUAACAAUGAGACCAGUUCAUAUUUUUUCUAUCUUCCAUCUGGGUAGGUCACCCAUAACAAUGAGACCACUUCACAUUUUUUCGAUCUUCCACCUGGGUAGGUCACCCAUAACAAUGAGACCACUUCACAUUUUUUCUAUCCUACACCUGGGUAGGUCACCCAUAACAAUGAGACCACUUCAUAUUUGUUCUAUCUUCCAUCUGGGUAGGUCACCCAUUAUAACGCGACCACUUCAUAUUUGUUCUAUCUUCCAUCUGGGUAGGUCACCCAUUAUAACGCGACCACUUCACAUUUAUUCUAUCUUCCACCUGGGUAGGUCACCCAUUAUAACGCGACCACUUCACAUUUUUUCUAUCUUCCACCUGGGUAGGUCACCCAUUAUAAUGAGACCGCACUUCACAUUCUUUCCGUUUGGGUAGGUCACCCAUCAUAAUGAGACCGUUUUCCAUCAUUUUUUCUUGGGUUCGUCACCCAUACAAUGAGACCAUCAUUUUUUUCUUGGGUUAGUCACCCAUACAAUGAGACCAUCAUUUUUCUGGGGUUCGUCACCCAUACAAUGAGACCAUCAUUUUUCUGGGGUUCGUCACCCAUACAAUGAGACCACCAUUUUUCUGGGGUUCGUCACCCAUACAAUGAGACCAUCAUUUUUCUUGGGUUCGUCACCCAUACAAUGAGACCAUCAUUUUUCUUGGGUUCGUCACCCAUACAAUGAGACCAUUUGUUCCACAUUCUUUGUUUUGGUUUAAUGAGGUCGCCAGAUGGGAUCUCAUGUAGCUUUGGUUAAAGGGAAUCGCCAGAUGGGAUUUCAGGUUAACCGAGUUACGUAACAUCUUUUAGUUUUGGUUUAAUGAGGUCGCCAGAUGGGAUCUCAUGUAGCUUUGGUUAAAGGGAAUCGCUAGAUGGGAUUUCAGGUUGACCGAGCUACCACACAUUUUUUAGUUCCAGUUGAAUGAGGUUGCCAGAUGGAAUCUCAUGUAGCUUUGGUUAAAGGGAAUCGCCAGAUGGGGUUUCAGGUUGACCGAGCUACCACACAUUUUUUAGUUCCAGUUGAAUGAGGUUGCCAGAUGGAAUCUCAUGUAGCUUUGGUUAAAGGGAAUCGCCAGAUGGGAUUUCAGGUUGACCGAGCUACCACACAUUUUUUUAAGUUCAAGUUGAAUGAGGUCGCCAGAUGGGAUCUCAUGUAGCUUUGGUUAAAGGGAAUCGCCAGAUGGGAUUUCAGGUUGACCGAGCUACCACACAUUUUUAAGUUCAAGUUGAAUGAGGUCGCCAGAUGGGAUCUCAUGUAGCUUUGGUUAAAGGGAAUCGCCAGAUGGGAUUUCAGGUUGACCGAGCUACCACACAUUUUUUAGUUCUAGUUGAAUGAGGUUGCCAGAUGGAAUCUCAUGUAGCUUUGGUUAAAGGGAAUCGCCAGAUGGGAUUUCAGGUUGACCGAGCUACCACACAUUGUUUUUAAGUUCCGGUUUAAUGAGGUCGCCAGAUGGGAUCUCAUGUAGCUUUUGUUAAAGGGAAUCGCCAGAUGGGAUUUCAGGUUGACCGAGCUACACACAUUUUUUGGGUUUUGGUUCAAGGAGAUUGCCCGAUGGGAUCUCACACAAAAAAAAAAGAAGAGAGAAAGAAGGAAAUGAGAAAGAAAAAAAAAAGAAAGAAACAUUUAGAGUUUUUUCUUUACAAAGCUUACUAUGCAAAACAUUGAGGAGUUUUCCUUCGUAAGCAUUGUAAAGAGGGGGCAUCUGUUGCUACCCAAUUUUUGACCCAUGUUUUGAUAAAUUUUCAAAAAAAUCCAAAAAUAGCGAAAAACAUUGAAAAUCCAAAAAAAUACAUUUUUAAUACCUUUGCAUCGUUUUUAGCAUUUUUAGCAUCGUCUCAAAAGAAUUUAAAUUUUCAAAGACAUUUGGAACGCGUUCAACUUUUAACGCGUUAUUUUUAAAAUAAUUGAUUUUCUUCAUUGAGUCGACAUUGAUAUUGCUCGUUUUCAAAAAAAUACAAAAAAAUUAAGAAAAAUCAAAUUGACAAAAAAAGAAAGAAAGUUGAGGGACCAAUUUUGAGAUCCAUGCAACAUUUUACCUAUAAAUACUGGUCCACAACUCAAACAAAAGAGGGGGGGGGGCAAUUUUGACAAACAAAAAAAAGGGGAAGAGAAACCCUAAACCUAUCUCUUUCACACCCAGCCGCCGCCACCCACUAGAGAAUUUUAUCUUCUCUGCACACAGCCCCCCGGUGGCCUUCAUUUUGCUGACCCGGCUGGUUCCACCGUUUCCUUCCCCUCUCCACUGUUAUCCCCCUCACAGACCAACACACACCCGACCAAAGCCUCUCCAUUCUCCUCUCACAGCCCCCAAAACCCCCAAAACCAUUUUUCCUUCUCACAGCCGACCCCAACAGCUCCAUCGCCGGCCUUGACCGACUAUCCCCUACAGACCCGAACCAGAACCUCCACAUCCACCGACAGUACCCCCCCCUUUGGUUUUUUUUUAUCUUCUCCUUAGCUCUGAUCUGCUCAAGCCGCCGCUCCCUCCCUUGAAAACAAAACUCUGUCCCAAAACAGCCGCUUCCCCCACUUGACCCAUCAACACCGAAGCCCCCUUUCCUUGGCAGCAUCUUCUUCUUCGGUCUUCUCAACAGCGAAGGGCCAAGUCAACAGCGCCUUCUUCUCCCUUGGCCGACUACCAACAGCAACGGAGAAGCAGCACCCACAGGAGCCCCCAGCAGCGCCCACGGACGACACCGCCGGUGCAGAAUGAAGUAGGAGUAAGGCCGCCGAUCCUCCACACGUCUGGUCUGUCAGCGGCGUGUGUAGAAUCUGUUCUCCUCUCGCCCACAGGCACAGAGUAUCCGCAGAUCUGCCCUCCAAGCGGCAGCCCCCCCCAUACGGCGUCGCCUGCCGAUCCGGCGCCAUUUCCCACAGAAGACCACCACCGGCAGAGAAGGGAAGGGAGAAGAAGCCGGCAGCCACCUGAAACAGAGGAGAUUAGGAAAGAAAAAGAAACGAACAGAUCUGCCCAAACGGAGAAAAAGAGAGACAGAUCCGAAAACAAGGAGGAAGAAAUUAAAACCUACUGCCUUGUGUGUUUUUUCUCCUUUUGCAGGUGACAGUGAUUCUCACUGCCGGUGAGGGGAAGAAGAGGGGAAGCCGCGACUGACCCCCUGUUGUUUUGGAGUUCCAGCGGUGGCGCGUGAACCCACGCGCCACCAGUGACGAUGCGCGCGGGGAGCAACGCGCCACCAUUGUUCCAGCACUGUUCCCGCGCCCAAAAAACUUCCCUGACACUGUUCCAACUGUAGAGGGCUAUCCCUGUAAUUUCAGAUAGUUUUAGGGCUAAUUUUUGUAAUUGUAAAAAUUGUUUAAUGUAUUUUUUGUUUAG
rnacentral:lncRNA from 1 species